AUGGGCUGCUGGGGGAAUAGCCAGAAACCAGCCUUUUCCCAUGAGUCAGCACCAUUUGCAGACGGCAGGGGAAGAGAACAAGAAACCUCCAAGAAACAAGCCCUCCCUGAGAAUUGGCACCAUGCUCAUGCUGCUGGAAGUACAGCCAGAUGCCAGCCUUUUCCCGUAAGUCAGAGCCAUUCGCAGACUACAGGGGAAGAGAACAAGAAGUCACCAAGAAGCAAGCCCUCACUGAGAAUCAGUGCCAUGCACUGCCACUCGACAGGAGCCAGAUGCCAGUUCCUUCUGGAGCAUGGGCUGGGAUAUAGGAAGAGCCAACACCCCACCUCACCCUCACCCCCACUCCACUCAGGAUGAAGAGAGGAAGGGAGAGACAGACAGAGAACCUGCACUUACCGUCUCAUCUAUAUUUUUCCUGGUGGGUAAAAAUCAAAUUUACUAUUAAAAGUUCAUAAUGGGGGAGGCCAGGGGCUUAGCUCAGUGGUGUAAGCACCUGCCUGGCAAGCACAAGGUUGUUUGAUCCCCGGUACCAAAAAAAAAAAGUUCAUAAUGGGCUUUUCAUGAAUGGGAAUUUCUCCAUAAAACAGCGUGCUGUUACAGAGUGUGCAACAUGAAAAGAAUACCAUUAUGCUAUCUAGUGUGACUGGCAAACUAUAGUCACUUUGUAAAGGGAAGGCAGAGAUUUGAAAAUUUAUGCAACCAAAGUUCAGAUAACCUUUCCUGUAGCUCAAACUGUGACAACUUUCUGCCUAGGCACUCUAAAAUCUGAAUUCUUAGUAUUGUUUAUCAUAUUUGAAAUUAUGGUGUGUAUAUGAAAAGUGUUGAUACUAGAUUCAUAUCUUCUAAUAUAUUUGUGUUCUAUUAGCCAUUCUAUUUGCCCUUUUAUCAUUUUCAUUUGUGGUAAGAACAUAUUUUUCAAAUUUUCUACUAAUUUAGUCUGCAGCUGAGCAUUACUAAUUUUCUUUCUGAUUUGCAUUAUUUGUAUGAUAGUUUGUUGGGUUCUCAGUAUUCUAAGUUGAACUGAUUACUUCGUUGUCUUCUCUCUUCUACAGUGACCUACAAGUGUCCAAUGAAGCUGAUUUUACCCCUUUUCUGAACUUUUACAUUUUUUAUUAAACUGAACUCUUAAUUCACUGAGAAGCCUGUUUACAUAACCUGCUGGCAUCCCAACUUCUUUUAACCACUCUAUCAUAUAUUUUUCAAUUUUACUAUUUGGGGAGAUAUCUAAUAGAAGACUGUUGAGCUUUGUGAUACCUCAUAAAAAAAUCUUUGUUUUGGACCAGUAGCACUUUAAAUAUGAUAAUAUCAUUUGUAACAGCUUUAUACACCUUAUCUCUUGCAGUAAGAAAUCAUGGAUCAUCUUGAAAAGCUGCUUUGUUGAGUUUACUAAAUCUAUUAAAUAGUGUAGGUAACUGCUCUACAGUUUUUACAGCACCAUUUACUGAAGAGUCUCUUCCAGUAAAGAUAUUUGGCCUCUUUGUCAAGGAUAAGGUGGCUGAGUGUAUUUAUAAUUGUGUCUGCAUCUUCUAAUCCACUGAUCUUCAAGUCUGUUUUGUUUUGUUUUGUUUCCAGUAUCAUACAGAUUUUAUCAUAGUAGCUUUGUAGUAUAAUUUCAAGUCAGGGUUUGUGAUGGCUUCUGCAUUGCUUUUGUUGUUCAGAAUUGCUUUUGUUAUUCUAGGUCUCUUUUAGUUCCAAUGAAUUUCCUGUAGUUCUGGGAGGCAUGCUAAUGGUAUUUUGCCUGGGAUAGCAUUAAGUCUAUAUAACAAUUUUGGGAGUAAUCAGGCCAGGACAUAUGAUGUGUUCCUUCCAAAGUUCCCAUUACAAAUUUUGCUCAUCAAUGAAAAUACUGAAUAUAAGUUCUCAGUUUCAUUUCACUGAUUCAUGCCUUGAUGCUCCACUGGGUUAAUCUCUUUAAAUGAUGUCACUAAGACAUUCACACAGUAUUACAUGAGUGCUUCAGCAGUUACAUUUUUCUCUUAUUUCUAAAUAAUGUACUCAUUUUUCUUCUUUUAAUUAGCAUCUGCGUAUUCCAUACAAUUCUGUACACUAUUUUGUUGUAAAUAUGAGGGUGUUUCUAUAAAAUCUCUGUUGAAUCCAAGUAUUUCUUCUCAUAAUUGUCCCUAUAAUUCUGAAGCUUAACCACAGAAUUAGAACAAAGAUUAACAUAGAUCUCUCUUACUCCAGUGACCAGCUGAGAAUCAAAAGCUUCUAAUCUUUUUGCAUGUACGAGCUUCAUUGCAUUAUCUUGUAGCCUGCCAUUAAUAUUUGAGAAAAUUGAUACAUUCCAUGUACAAAGUAUGAGCUUUCACAUCACAUUUUUUAAAAAUUACAGACCUCGGGGCUGGAUAUUUAGCUCAGCGGCAUAAGCGCCUGCCCUGCAAGCAGGCAGUCGUGAGUUCGAUCCCCGGUACUGAUAAAAAGGAAAAAGACAAAAAAAAAAAAAAAAAAAAUUACAGACCUCUACCCAUUAAAAUAAUCUGUAGUUGACCAACCAAUGUAAAAUAUCACAUUGUGUAAAGAAUUCCUGCCUAUUCAACAAUAGACGCUUUUAGCAAAGCUGUGUCAUCUUGAUAGGUUAAUGGGUGCCUAGACUUGCUUUGUAAGUUCAAGCAUAUCCUCUUUUAAAGCCUGAUGACUUUUUGCUGGACUUUUAUCAUCCGAGAGACAGAUUAUGUAAAUGUCAGAAAACAAGUCAAACCACAGUUGUUUUAUAACAGAUUCCUGUUUUAAAGUUUUAAAGUUUCCUGUUUUGAAGUUUACUUCAAAACAAUCAGAUGCAUAAAAUCCUACUUGUUUUUAAGCUGCAGAGAGCCUUUAUUUAAUGCAUGAGACAUCGCCAUCUCUUUCAACUCUGACUCUUGCUGCAAGAGGAGGUGGUGUUUCUGACCAGGCCAUAGGCAGAGGUCCACAAGACCCAAAGGGCCCAGCCACCCACAGGGUUAGUGUAGGUCUGGAGCUUCCUUAAAUAAUGUGGUGAAUGAUAUGGUAAGGGGAGCCAACCUGAUUUAGAAAAGAAAGCAUGGACUCCACUUCCUCAUCUGCUUUGAAAUAAUGUUAUGGUUUGUAUCUGGGUGUCCCCUCAAAGCCUCAUGCAGUCAUGGUGGUGGCUGAGUCUAUUGUUUGUGAUUGGUUUGCUGUCUAGCGUAGGGAUUGGCGGUGUGAACACUGCACCCACCCAGGAGUGGGUAGUUGGCAUAUCAUAUGAGGGAGGGAAAGAGGCAUGCUUUUCCCUUACGCCCUUCUUGCUCUUGUGGCUGUAACUGCCAUGAACAGUUGCCACUUAGCCAUGCCACCCUGCCUUGUAGCCAGCCGAGUAUGGUUGAAACCUCUAUAAACUGUAAGCUAAGUAAACCUUUCCUUUCUUCAUCUUGGGCAUCAAGUAUUUUGUCUCAGCAAGGAGAAAAAAGUAACCAAGACACCUAGAUAUUUAUGUUUAAAGCAAUGAUGUCAUUCAGGGGCAGGAAGGCAGGGUGUGGCAAAGCUGAUUGUCAGAGUAAGUUUGACCUGAUUUGAGGACACCUGCACCAGAUAAUUCCCAAGGCCCCAUAUGUGGAAUUCUACUGGGUUCCUGUGAUGUGUGGAAGAAAUAAGAGGACACAGAUGCCAUGAGGAGCUUGCUACCCAGUAUCCUGCCCUGUGUUCCCCAGGGUGCACUUUUAUUUUUAUUUUUCGUCUCUUACUCUACCCAAAUUUGCUCUGCAGAGCUAAUUUCUCCCUUACCUUUCACUCUUAAUUUUUCAAAUAAACUUUGCUACUGUUUUUA
rnacentral:lncRNA from 1 species